rnacentral:rRNA from 1 species
CCCUGGCUCAGAACGAACGCUGGCGGCAGGCUUAACACAUGCAAGUCGAGCGCCUCGCAAGAGGAGCGGCAGACGGGUGAGUAACGCGUGGGAAUCUACCCAUCUCUACGGAAUAACUCAGGGAAACUUGUGCUAAUACCGUAUACGCCCUUAGGGGGAAAGAUUUAUCGGAGAUGGAUGAGCCCGCGUUGGAUUAGCUAGUUGGUGGGGUAAAGGCCUACCAAGGCGACGAUCCAUAGCUGGUCUGAGAGGAUGAUCAGCCACAUUGGGACUGAGACACGGCCCAAACUCCUACGGGAGGCAGCAGUGGGGAAUAUUGGACAAUGGGCGCAAGCCUGAUCCAGCCAUGCCGCGUGAGUGAUGAAGGCCUUAGGGUUGUAAAGCUCUUUCACCGGAGAAGAUAAUGACGGUAUUCCGGAGAAGAAGCCCCGGCUA